rnacentral:rRNA from 1 species
GAUGAACGCUGGCGGCGUGCCUAAUACAUGCAAGUCGAGCGAACGGACGAGAAGCUUGCUUCUCUGAUGUUAGCGGCGGACGGGUGAGUAACACGUGGAUAACCUACCUAUAAGACUGGGAUAACUUCGGGAAACCGGAGCUAAUACCGGAUAAUAUUUUGAACCGCAUGGUUCAAAAGUGAAAGACGGUCUUGCUGUCACUUAUAGAUGGAUCCGCGCUGCAUUAGCUAGUUGGUAAGGUAACGGCUUACCAAGGCAACGAUGCAUAGCCGACCUGAGAGGGUGAUCGGCCACACUGGAACUGAGACACGGUCCAGACUCCUACGGGAGGCAGCAGUAGGGAAUCUUCCGCAAUGGGCGAAAGCCUGACGGAGCAACGCCGCGUGAGUGAUGAAGGUCUUCGGAUCGUAAAACUCUGUUAUUAGGGAAGAACAUAUGUGUAAGUAACUGUGCACAUCUUGACGGUACCUAAUCAGAAAGCCACGGCUAACUACGUGCCAGCAGCCGCGGUAAUACGUAGGUGGCAAGCGUUAUCCGGAAUUAUUGGGCGUAAAGCGCGCGUAGGCGGUUUUUUAAGUCUGACGUGAAAGCCCACGGCUCAACCGUGGAGGGUCAUUGGAAACUGGAAAACUUGAGUGCAGAAGAGGAAAGUGGAAUUCCAUGUGUAGCGGUGAAAUGCGCAGAGAUAUGGAGGAACACCAGUGGCGAAGGCGACUUUCUGGUCUGUAACUGACGCUGAUGUGCGAAAGCGUGGGGAUCAAACAGGAUUAGAUACCCUGGUAGUCCACGCCGUAAACGAUGAGUGCUAAGUGUUAGGGGGUUUCCGCCCCUUAGUGCUGCAGCUAACGCAUUAAGCACUCCGCCUGGGGAGUACGACCGCAAGGUUGAAACUCAAAGGAAUUGACGGGGACCCGCACAAGCGGUGGAGCAUGUGGUUUAAUUCGAAGCAACGCGAAGAACCUUACCAAAUCUUGACAUCCUUUGACAACUCUAGAGAUAGAGCCUUCCCCUUCGGGGGACAAAGUGACAGGUGGUGCAUGGUUGUCGUCAGCUCGUGUCGUGAGAUGUUGGGUUAAGUCCCGCAACGAGCGCAACCCUUAAGCUUAGUUGCCAUCAUUAAGUUGGGCACUCUAAGUUGACUGCCGGUGACAAACCGGAGGAAGGUGGGGAUGACGUCAAAUCAUCAUGCCCCUUAUGAUUUGGGCUACACACGUGCUACAAUGGACAAUACAAAGGGCAGCGAAGCCGCGAGGUCAAGCAAAUCCCAUAAAGUUGUUCUCAGUUCGGAUUGUAGUCUGCAACUCGACUACAUGAAGCUGGAAUCGCUAGUAAUCGUAGAUCAGCAUGCUACGGUGAAUACGUUCCCGGGUCU